CCUUUUGGUGAGGAAGCAGAAGUUUAUCCUUCCUGAGUCCUUCUCAGAACAAUUUUGAAAUCUGCCACACCCCCUUUGAAUCAGUUAAUGUUUUUUCGAAGGAAUGCAUGCAAACAUUUAAAAACGCAUGCAAACAUGUGUUACUUAUCCUUUAUUUAUAAAAUGUCUUGCACAACUAGCUACAUUUGUUUUAAUCACUUUAUACAUUUAUUUUGGGUUUUCACCCUCUAAACUUCAUUUGACUGACAGUAAGUGUUGGAGAAGGAGAGUCUCAUUUCAUACAAGCAAAUUUUCAUCCACUUUCCCCUCUCCUGGCUGCCUCUCCUUUUCUUAAUUGGAUUCGUUUGGACAUUUCCUAUUUUCUUUCUUUUCACAUUGUGUGUAUUGUUUUGUAUUAUUAGGUUUUACUACACUGCUGGAUCGAGAAACACAAACAUUUCGCUGCACCUGCGAUAAUGUCUGCAAAUCUGUGUACGCUACCUGUAAGGUUCUGCUUUUCUUUUGUUAGUCAACCUUGUGUUCUUUUUAUUUGUGUUCUUGAACGUAGCCCUGUUUCUUUCAUUUUUGUUUAUUGAUUUCACCUGUGUUCGUUUCUCACCUGGUCUCAUCAGCUCUCUAUUUAGUUCAGUUCUUUCUGUUUGUAUGAUUGUGAGGUAUUGUUUGUUUUUGACCAUUGCCUGUGACCACGAUUCUUGCCUUUUGCAUCAGACCGUGGCCCUCAGUUCACCUCACUUGUAUGGCAAGAAUUCAUGGAAUGCCUGAGGGUCAUGGUCAGUCUCCCCUUUGGACACUGUCCUCAAGCUAAUGGGCAGGUGGAGUGGGUUAAUCAGGAAGUGGGCAGGUUCCUGAGUGUGUUUUGGGGAAUCAGCCGGCCUUGGCAUCUGAGCCAGACUGAGGCCCCUGCGGUGGACGAGUGGUUUCGGCACGCUGAGGAGACCUGGAACACUGCGCACACUCGUAUCCAGCGGGCCGUGUGUUGGCACAAGGAACAGGCCGACCACCACCGCAGUGAGGCGACUGGGUCUGGCUCUCCACCUGUAACCUGCCCCUCCGCCUGCCCUGCCGGAAGCUGAGUCUUUGGCCAGUGGUGCCUGGUCCCCUCUGAGGCUGGACCCAGUGACGCCCUGCCUCCUCUGGACAUCGAGGGAGGUCCGUCGUACUUGGUCAUUGAAGUCCUGGAUUCGAGGUGUCAGGCGGGGAAUCUCCAGUACCUCAUCGACUGGGAGAGGUACGGCCCAGAGGAGUAGCGACGUGUUCCUGCAGUGGACAUCCUGGACGCUUCGCUGACCAGGGAUUUUCACCAUUGACACCCUGACUGACCCACACCUUGUCCCUGAGGCCGGUACUCAGGUCUGUCUUGUCUCACUACGCACACCUGGUUCCUCCUGAUUAGUGUGUGCCCCCUCCCCAUUGUGCUUCUUUAUUUAUUGUCCAUUGGUGUUGCGACCCUGUGCUCUGUAUUGUGCACUUGUUAUUACGGGUCUCGUUUUUUUUUGUGUGUGUCUUUUUGUUUUGGGCUUCGUCCCUGUUUUUUCAUGACCUACUUUAUUUUAAAUGGAGAAAUAAAACCUCUUAUUACGUAUUCCUGCGCCUGCCUCCUUUCAUUAUACAGCAUUAAUAGUUAAUGUUGAUGGCCUUAAUGAGAGAGAAUUACUUUGGGGGAUUAUGUAGAUUACAUUUUUGAUUAAUUUAGUUAGACUUAACUGGUUAGCCCAAUAGAAGUUUAACGAGGGGUUCCUGCAGAUGUAUUAAGAGUGUGGUUCGAUGUGGCUGUUAUUGAUGUUUGUCCCCCAUGAGUCACCAUAGGCACAAAGCCAGUAUAAAUUCCUGACAAUAGUCAAAAUGAAUCUAAGAACACAAACUCUAAUUUUGAUGCUUUUUGCCAAGGUUUUAGUCAAGCUAUUUUACAUCUAGAUAAGGUGUUUGGUGCAGUAUUUCUCAAGUUAAAAAAAUGAGCCACGUUGUCUGAUGUAAACAAUGCUUGGCAG